UUAGGUCGGGAACUCAAAGGAGACUGCCAGUGAUAAACUGGAGGAAGGUGGGGAUGACGUCAAGUCAUCAUGGCCCUUACGACCAGGGCUACACACGUGCUACAAUGGCGCAUACAAAGAGAAGCGACCUCGCGAGAGCAAGCGGACCUCAUAAAGUGCGUCGUAGUCCGGAUUGGAGUCUGCAACUCGACUCCAUGAAGUCGGAAUCGCUAGUAAUCGUGGAUCAGAAUGCCACGGUGAAUACGUUCCCGGGCCUUGUACACACCGCCCGUCACACCAUGGGAGUGGGUUGCAAAAGAAGUAGGUAGCUUAACCUUCGGGAGGGCGCUUACCACUUUGUGGUUCAUGACUGGGGUGAAGUCGUAACAAGGUAACCGUAGGGGAACCUGCGGUUGGAUCACCUCCUUACCUUAAAGAA
rnacentral:rRNA from 2 species